UACGGAGGGUGCGAGCGUUGUCCGGAAUCACUGGGCGUAAAGGGCGCGUAGGCGGCCUGAUAAGUAGGGGGUGAAAUCCUGCGGCUUAACCGCAGGGCUGCCUUCUAAACUGUCAGGCUAGAGCACAGUAGAGGCAGGUGGAAUUCCCGGUGUAGCGGUGGAAUGCGUAGAUAUCGGGAAGAACACCAGUGGCGAAAGCGCUCUACUGGGCCAUAACUGACACUGAGGGACGAAAGCUAGGGGAGCGAAAGGG
rnacentral:rRNA from 1 species